rnacentral:lncRNA from 1 species
AGAACCAGUAUUCGCUCAAUGCAGCUCGAAAGAUUGCAAAGUUAGCUGACACUUGUUUGUUAAAAUCUGCAAAAGAUCGACCAAAGAUGAGUCAGGUAGUAGAAACUCUGAAGCAGAUCAUUCAGAUUUCUGGUGAGAAUAGCUCCACAGACACGAGUUUCCAGUGUGUCGAAGAUGAACCUGUUGUAGAGGAAAAUCCAAAGCAGACAGGAGCCUCAGAAUCAACGAAAAGGCGAAUGGCUCACUUGGCUAAACUUAGUGAACAUGUUGGUGGAAUAAGCAGAAGAAGAUUUAUGAUCAUGCAGAAGGCUAAAGUUAUAUAAAACAGUUUUUUUUCCCCUCCUGCAUAUCAGAUAUCAAGUUGUUAAGAAUUCUGGUUUAUGGAAUGAGAGAACAUAGUAACCAGUUUAACGAGUAAAUGAAGCAUUGUUAUUUCAACUCAUUAGUGGCAAUGACUAGAGGCACCAAUCAGUAGCGUGGAGUUUUUUGCAUGCCAUCAGAUUAUGCAUUUGCAUUGUAGGCCAUUAUUCUGAUUUAUCAGGAAAAAAUAUUGCAGGCCACUAUUCUCUUGUGCAUCUUUUGUUAGCUAUUAUGUAAUUUAUUUAUUUACUUUACUGUGGUAUCUGCACCAGCCUUAUUCUACACCUCCACAACACAAAUACCAAGUGAUUUUAUCCUUCAAGGCUUAAGCAGAUGGAAGAAAUUACUUAAGGUGGUUUUUUCAUGAAUAUAUUUUUGUUUCUAAAGAAACACAAAGCAAAGAACAAAAAGAGGGAAGGUGGGGAGGAAAGAAAACUUCAAGUCAAGUCGGACAAAGAAAUAAUGGCGAAUUGAUUAGAUUGUACUUAUUCAACCAUAUUUUAUGGAAUCGUUGACGAAUAUAGUUUCAAUAUGGACCUGCCAACCGCAGGAGACGUUGACUACUUACAGCGUUGAACGUACUGAAGAAAGUUAUAAUUUCUUUUUUAUUGUUUGCAGAGGAUCAGAAGACCACUAAGUUCGGCACAUGUACAAUACAACCACAAUAAAUACAUAAACCAAUGAAAAAUUGCGUCUCUUAAGAGCAACUAAAAGUGAAAUGAUAUGCCCCCACCCCGCCCUUGGACAGCCCGGCAAAGCAUCCCGCGUUCGGAGAAGGGCCGGCUCCUACCUCACUCCUGCCAAAAAAAAGAAGGGAUUUUUACAUAUUUACACACUAUUGGAAACUUUAUUACCCUCCCUACUCAAGUUUCAAUUUAAUUACCUUUUAUAUACAAAUUUACCAAUUAUACACACUUUAGGAAUUAAAUGAGUAUCCAUUUAUAUUAUGAAUCAAUUAUUUCUCAUCCUUGUUCUCUCUCCCUCAUGCUCUCUCUCUCUCCCCUGUGCGCUCUCUCUACGUCUCUCUAUCCCUAAUUUCAGUAAUGUAGAGCAAAGGAAGAGAGAGCAACAAUUCCACCAUUGAUAGCCAAUAAAAAGCUUUGAAACUUUGAAUUCGAAUUUGGGUUUUCAAAAAACAUUAUUUGUUUGAAUUGGGUGUUGUUACAAACAAUUGAAAAUUCUCUCUAUGUCUCUCUCUAUGUAAAGCAAAGGAAAAGAAAGCAGCAACUCCACCAUUGACAUGCAUUAAAAAGCUUUGAAACUUUGAAUUCGAAUUUGGGUUUUCAAAAAACAUUAUUUGUUUGGAUUGAGUGUUGUUGCAAACAAUUGGGAAUAUGGUUUGGAGUUUAUAUCUCAAUUUUGAGGGUGUUUUGGUAAAGAUUAGACUUGAUUUUGACUAAAUUUCAUAUUGAAACUCGAAGAAGAAGACAUGACAUACAUUAUACUUACAAAAUUGUAGUAAAAUUGUAGAAAAAUUAUUUGUUUAUAUAUAUAUAUAUAUAUUUUUUAUUUAAAUAUUGUAUGAAAGUUGAACAAUAUUGUAUAAAAAUUGUAUCUAAGUUAGUAUGAUAUUGUAGUUGUAUAUAAAUGGGUAGAAAUAAUGUAUGAAAAUUGUAGAUAAGUUGUAAAUAAGUUAUAUAAUAUAUAAUUAGUUGUAUAUAUAUAUGGAUUGCAUAUAUUUUGUAACUAAAAUGUGUUUAGGUCGGGUAAAUACCAAAAUAUAAACAUUUUUUGUAAUAAGAUUUCAAAUAGUGUAUAGGUAUGUAAAAAUCCAAAAAAAAUAUGGAAAAGAGGAAGGAAGAAAAUACUUCUAACAUUGUAUAUUUGUUGAUCAAAUUACACCACUCUUUUUUUCUUCUAUCAAAAGGAAGGAUCCGGGAAGGGGAAUCGAAACCGAUCCGAUUGAUACUACUAGGCUGUAAGUUUUCUAGCUUCUCAAAGAUCCAGAACAUGUUCUAUAUUCUGCAUAGCCAUUAUACUAUAUACGGCACAAGAACCUUGUGCAGCCAUUCCAACAGUCUCCAAGGUCAAACGACCAUAUGGCACCUAUGUUGCUCGGAUACUCCGAACAUGUCGUCGGGUACGUAUCGAGUUCUCCAAAAGCAGUGUAUUUUUGGAGAAUCCGAUACGUGCGGCAGUGUUUCGGAGAGUCCGCGCAACAUAGUAUGACACUGAUCACCAGUAGUUUGGACAACGCCUUUUGUGCAUCCUGAAAUGUGAAAAUUCAAUCGCAGAAUUCAUCAAGAUAGCCAUUUUCUACUUGGGGUUGAGGGGGGGGGGGGGGCAGUGAGCUUCAUCACCAAGAGACAUUGGAUAAAGCUGAAAAGAAAAGGAAAUUAGUUUCUAGUAUAAUGCAAGGAUGGCAUUAACUUCUAGUUUCAGAGUAAAUCAUUGUUCAGAGUAGGAAAACACAACGUUUGACCUAUAUUUGUUUGCGAAGACAUAGACCUUCAUAUGAAAGUUGCACACACAAUUACACUAGAUGAAGAUAUGUUCACAAAUAAACUUACUAGAUCCAUCAGCGUUGGCGGGUUUGCAAAAAAUCAAUAACAACAGCAACAACAAAGGUCUAGCUAGUUGAGGUCGGCAUAUGAAUCCUCAUCAUCCAUUUCGCUCUAUUUGGGCCAGGUCUGCGAAACUUCAAUUCAGCAGCUGGAAAAAAACCUUUGUCACGAUGUUUCCCAUAACCGAGCACUUGAUCUUUUAUCAUUCACCAUAGCAGUUCUUUUCAGGAACAAAUCUUUAGGCACAUCCCUCGCCAGCUAUAGGAAUAAUUUAUCUUUCCAUUACCUUCAUUAUCAACUCAAGGAAACAUCAUUCAAAUACCGGACAUUGAGCAGCAUCUAAGUCUCUUCUCCCACAGG